AGAGUUUGAUCAUGGCUCAGAACGAACGCUGGCGGCAGGCUUAACACAUGCAAGUCGAACGGUGUAGCAAUACACAGUGGCGCACGGGUGAGUAAUACUUGGGAACGUGCCCUUCAGUCUGGGAUAACCACGGGAAACUGUGGCUAAUACCGGAUACUCCCUCCGGGGGAAAGUUUUUCGCUGAAGGAUCGGCCCAAGCCAGAUUAUGGUAGUUGGUGGGGUAAAAGCCUACCAAGCCUACGAUCUGUAGCUGGUCUGAGAGGACGACCAGCCACACUGGAACUGAGACACGGUCCAGACUCCUACGGGAGGCAGCAGUGGGGAAUAUUGGACAAUGGGGGAAACCCUGAUCCAGCCAUGCCGCGUGAAUGAUGAAGGCCUUAGGGUUGUAAAGUUCUUUUGUCAGGGAAGAUGAUGACGGUACCUGAAGAAUAAGCACCGGCUAACUUCGUGCCAGCAGCCGCGGUAAUACGAAGGGUGCUAGCGUUGUUCGGAAUCACUGGGCGUAAAGCGCGCGUAGGCGGCUUCUCAAGUCAGGGGUGAAAUCCUGAGGCUCAACCUCAGAAUUGCCUUUGAAACUGUGAAGCUAGAGUGUCGGAGGGGAUAGCGGAAUUUCCAAUGUAGCGGUGAAAUGCGUAGAUAUUGGAAGGAACACCGGUGGCGAAGGCGGCUAUCUGGACGACAACUGACGCUGAGGCGCGAAAGCGCGGGGAUCAAACAGGAUUAGAUACCCUGGUAGUCCGCGCUGUAAACGAUGGAUGCUAGCUGUUGGGGACAUUGUUCUCAGUAGCGUAGCUAACGCGUUAAGCAUCCCGCCU
rnacentral:rRNA from 1 species